rnacentral:rRNA from 1 species
CAGUCGAUGAGCCGCUUUGGUAGUUGGUUCCCGCCUUGGUGUUAAUCCAGGAAACACAAUCGGCGAUUGUAAGCCGAAAGUUGCCGGUUCAAAUCCGGCAGGCGGGAUUGGGUUUAGGGUUCGAUUCCGGAGAAGGAGCCUGAGAAACGGCUGCUACAUCCAAGGAAGGCAGCAGGCGCGCAAAUUACCCAAUCCUGACACAGGGAGGUAGUGACAAAAAAUAACAAUAUCGGGCAUUUACAUGUCUGAUAAUUGGAAUGAGUACAAUUUAAAUCCCUUAACGAGGAACAAUUGGAGGGCAAGUCUGGUGCCAGCAGCCGCGGUAAUUCCAGCUCCAAUAGCGUAUAUUAAUAUUGUUGCAGUUAAAACGCUCGUAGUUGAAUAUUGAGUAUUGUAUUAAAUUGGUUGCACGUUUGUGUAACUAUUUAAUCAUACUCUUCCUACUGGUAACUCGAUUCUGUGCUUAAUUGCAUGGAGUAGCAUGAUUUCGGUUGUGUCGAUUAGUUAUUUCAGCUCCACAAAGAGGUUGAGAGGUGUAAAAGCCUUGAGAUUAAUUUAGUGGGUCAAGUUGAAGUGAUUAAUUGGAGUUCUAGUUCAUUUACUUUGAGAAAAUUAGAGUGUUUAAAGCAGCCUCUUUGGGCUCUGAAUACAUUAGCAUGGGAUAAUAGAAUAGGAUUUUAGUCUGAUAUUUGUUGGUUCAACAGGUUGAAAUAAUGAUGAAUAGGGACAGUUGGGGGUAUUUAUAUUGGAUGGUUAGCGGUGAAAUGCUCGGAUCCAUUCAAGAUAAAUUAAAGCGAAAGCAUUUACCAAGGAUGUUUUCAUUAAUCAAGAACGAAAGUUAAGGGAUCGAAGACGAUCAGAUACCGUCGUAGUCUUAACUAUAAACUAUGCCGACCAGGGAUGUGGGUUGUUAUGAGUAUGUCAAAGUACUCGAUUUCUUCCUAUGGAUCUUGUGAGAAAUCAUAAGUUUUUGGGUUCUGGGGGGAGUAUGGUCGCAAGGCUGAAACUUAAAGGAAUUGACGGAAGGGCACCACCAGGAGUGGAGCCUGCGGCUUAAUUUGACCCAACACGGGGAAACUUACCAGGUCCAGACAUUAGCAGGAUUGACAGAUUGAUAGCUCUUUCAUGAUUUAAUGGGUGGUGGUGCAUGGCCGUUCUUAGUUGGUGGAGUGAUUUGUCUGGUUAAUUCCGAUAACGAACGAGACCUUUACCAUACUAAAUAGUUUAGUUAAUGUUUACAUUGAUUCAAACUUCUUAGAGGGACUUUUGACAUCAAGUCAAAGGAAGCAAAGGCGAUAACAGGUCUGUGAUGCCCUUAGAUGUUCUGGGCUGCACGCGUGCUACAAUGAUAAGCUCAUCAAGUUGAUUCGUUUAUUCGGAUAAUGCUUCAUCGGAAGGUGUGGCUAAUCUUCAACGUGAUAUCGUGACUGGGAAACAGAUCGGAAGAGCACACGUCUGAACU